rnacentral:rRNA from 1 species
CACGUAGGCACCAAGCGUUGUCCGGAUUUAUUGGGCGUAAAGAGCUCGUAGGCGGUUCGGUAAGUCGGGUGUGAAAACUUUGGGCUCAACCCAAAAGACUGCACCCGAUACUGCUGUGACUUGAGUCCGGUAGGGGAGUGGGGGAAUUCCUGGUGUAGCGGUGGAAUGCGCAGAUAUCAGGAGGAACACCGGUGGCGAAGGCGCCACUCUGGGCCGGUACUGACGCUGAGGAGCGAAAGCGUGGGGAGCGAACAGG